rnacentral:rRNA from 1 species
GUCUUUUUGUUUUAAAUUUAAAGUCUGGUCUGCCCUCUGAUUAAUUUGAAUGGCCGCGGUAUUUUGACCGUGCUAAGGUAGCAUAAUCAUUAGUUUUUUAAUUGAAAGCUGGAAUGAAGGGUUGAAUGAAAAAAUAACUGUCUCUAUUUAAUUAUUAUAAAAAUUUAUUUUUAAGUUCAAAAGCUUAAAUUUUAUUAAAAGACGAGAAGACCCUAUAGAGUUUUAUAAUUUUUAGUAUAAAAGAUUUAGAAUUUAUUUUUUUAUAUUUAGAAAUUAUUUAAUUGGGGUGAUUAAAAAAUUUAAUUAACUUUUUUUAUAUAAUUUAUAUUUAUUAAUAAAUAUUUGAUCCAAAGAUUUUGAUUAAAAGAUUAAAUUACCUUAGGGAUAACAGCGUAAUUUUAUUAGAGAGUUCUAAUUGAUAAUAAAGAUUGCGACCUCGAUGUUGGAUUAAAAUUUAUAAUUGGUGCAGAAGCUAAUUAAUUAAGUCUGUUCGACUUUUAAAAUUUUACA